UCUCCGUAGGUGAACCCGCGGAGGGAUCAUUGAAUCUAGACCCAAGACAACUCGUGUGACCCUGUUGAACCCCCCGGUCGGGGCCCCGCGAGGGGACCCGGCCGGCGCCUGUUCCGCGGGCCGGCACCCCCUUCCCAGGAAGGACCGGGCCGGCCGUCUGCCAAGGUCUGGCGGGCCGACGGGGGCGGCGCUCAGCGUCCCAUCUCGAUGGGAGGCGAGGCCGUCUCCGAUCACCUCGGUCGGACAAAACCCACUCACCUUCGCCAACCGUCCAGCCUGAAGCCAGUGGCCGGUGAGCUCACCGGCGACACAACCAAUGACAACUCUCAACAACGGAUAUCUUGGCUCCC
rnacentral:misc_RNA from 1 species